GGGGCCUUAGCUCAGCUGGGAGAGCGCCUGCCUUGCACGCAGGAGGUCAGCUGUUCGAUCCCGCUAGGCUCCA
rnacentral:tRNA from 1 species